rnacentral:lncRNA from 1 species
CCCUCCCACAGCCAGCAGCUCGGACCUGUGUCACCAACAGGAUACUGCGUAGGUGACAGAGUGUGACUUCCGAGCUUAGGUCAUAGGAGACAUCGCAGCUGCCGCCUUGUUCUCGCGGGUCGCUCAGUCUGGGGAAGCCAGCCGCCGUGUGGUGAGGACAUCCAAGCGGCCCUGUGGAGAGGCCCAUGUGGCCAGGAAGUGAGGCCUCUGCCAACAGCCAGUGCGAGCCUGCCACCAGGGGAGGAAGCCACCUUGGAAGAGGGUCCUCCAGCCCGAGUCCAGCCUUUGGAUGCCUGUGGCCCGGUCGACAGCCUGACACAGCCUCACGGGAAACCUGAGCUGGAACCACACAGCCCCCAAGUUCCUGACCCACAGAAACAAUGUGAGAUAACAAAUUUUCACUAUUUUAAGCCACUAAGUUUUGAAGUACUUUGUUAUGAAGCAAAAGAUAAGGAAUUCAACCCGCAGUAAGUAUUCAUAUAAAUAAGUGUAUGGAUGGCCGGCAAAUGAUGACACCACCUCCCACUCGCGGGGCCCUUCCUCUGUCUGGGGCACUGAAUUAAGUGGCUCACCUGUCUUGGUUCAUAGUCAAUCGUCACAGCAACCUAUGAGCCAGCCAUCACCCCACGCCCAUUUUAUGGAUGAAGAACCAGGUACAGCGAGGUUGAAUAACUCACCCAGCAUCACACCGGCAGAGCCCAGACUCGCUCCCAGACAGGUGGGGGCCACAGGAUUCACUUCUGUACCACACGGUGGCUGCUGUCCCAUCCCAGUCCUCCUUGCCAGCCCCCUGGGGCCUGGAGGGGUCCCUCCCGCGGGUUGUGUGGCUCUGCAGAGGCUGACCUUGGAGGUGAGUGGACACGGAGGCGGAGCUGGGAAAUGCCAAGCUCGUGACCCGGAGCGACUCCUUUCAUCCGGCUUCUGGGAGCGCUGUUCUCUCCCCACCUGUGGACGCCAGUUGGACGGGAUGGGGGCAGGGCCGCUUCUGUUGAGUCACUCGCAGUGGAUCCGAGUCUCCGUGGGGGUGGGGUGGGGGUCGGGGAGCUCAGGUUCCGGUAGCCUUGUCAUCACUGCUCCUAUGCAAGCCCGCUAAGGUUAUACCCCCCGGACACUGGCUGGACACUCGCAGGACCUCGGAGGCUCCGUUCUCUGGAUCCGAAACAAUACAGUGGGGGCAGAGCUAAAAAUAACAGUGGAAAACCACCGGCCCCACUUGCCCUCUAAGAAAAGGAGGCUGAAUGGGUCUGAGGCUUCUGGGGAGCACGGAGCGCUCAUGCCCCUGCAUCGUGUGAAGGGAACUGGGCUACGCUGAGCAGGCCCCUUGUGAGAGGUGUGAGGUACAAGGGACCCGGGCAUAGGCAGCCGGGGCCCAGCUUGGGCUCCACCUGUCACACUCACUGUGUGACCUCAGGGUAGUUGCUUAACAUCUCUGUGCCUCUGAAAAAUUCAUUUGAAAAAUUGAGACAACGAUGGCACCUGCUCCCCAAGAGUGACUGAGCUCGUGCCCCAGGGUCUCCAGCUCACCUGGGGGAGGUCUUUCCAGUGACCUCACAGGCGGGGAGCUGUGACUGCCAUUUACAGAUGAGGAAAUGCGGUUAAGACUCUCAGGGGCCACACAGAGCUAAGAAGAGGCAGAAACAGUCAGGGUUCAAGCCUGAACAAUGUCAUUGCCUCUAUGUCACCUGGCCCCUAUUCACUUUUGAGCCAUCAGAACCUGCCACUGUGUGUGGCACCUGUUAGAUGCGGUCACUGUUGUCAAGCAAAUGGAUAGAAUGGAUUGGGUGGGCAGAAAGUGAACUCCCCGUCACUCCAGAGGUAUGCAAGCACAGCCUGGGGCCUGGUAGGGGUCCUCAAGCAUUGGAUUUGGGGUUGAACUCAAUAUCAUUUAAGGUCCUUCCUGCCCCUGGAUGCCAGGGCUCAUCACCGUCCUCCCCAGGAAGACAAAGAAGACACAGAGAUUAUUAGGUCUGUUUUAUAGUGGGCGAAACUGAGGCCCAGAGCCAGGUUUUGCCCAAGGUCACUCCCUCAGGCCCAGGUGAAGCUGGCUGGGGCCUCAGUCAAGGUGGAUGCUCACUCAUUCAGCCCCAGCAGGAAGGUGGGCUCCUGCCUCUGAGCGACUAGAGAGGCAGGCGGGUGACAUGAGGACACAGGACAUGGGGAAGCCGAGGGCAAGCCCUAGAGGCGUGCUGGGCCAGGGAGCGGGCAAGGCCGGCAGCAAGGGGGCCCUGGGGCUUCUUCGGUCUCCCUCCCUCAUCCGACAGGUGAACAGACGAAGACCCCGAGAGGCGAUUCCUUGCUCCAGGUCCGUCUGUUACACGGGGACAGGCUGGGGACAGGCCUGCUGAGAAGGAGCGGGAGGCACAGGCCUGGACGUGGCAGGGCCUGAGGCUCCAGCAAGGGUGGGGGUCACUAGGUGGGCAGGAGCCAGACUGGACUCGGGGUCUUCUGACCUCGCUCAGCCCCUCCCUCUGGAGACCCUUUUCCAAGCACUCAGGAUGGGCAAAGCCCUUUUCCAGAUGUGCUGCGCAGAUGCCCUCCUUUCUCCUAUGGUCAGGACUGAGAAUUCCAUCACCUCCAUUUCUUCAGAAGAGGAAACGACGGCCAGAGAGGUUAAGCAAUUUGCCUGAGGCCACAGAGCCAGCAAGGGGGCUGGGGGUGAAACUCUGGCAGUGGCUGCUAAGUCCCAGGUCUUGCCCCCCAUCACCCUGGCUCUGGCGGCCUCCCCCUGAGGGUGGAGGAUGGACCACCUCCUUUCCCUCCAAGGUCAUCUCAGCGACCUUCAGGGGCCUCUCUCAAGCUCAGCAUCCACCCCUCGGGCCCCGGCCAAGACGUGGCAGCCCGUGCCCAGGACGGGGGCAGGUGGCGAGCAGCCAACAGGGGUGUGCUGUGAGCCUGGAGCACCCACGCGUGCCAUCCACCCCACGGGCACCUCCUUCAUCACCAGCGCUUUGGGGCUAUAACUCACGUUCUGCACACUUACCCAUCUAAAGCGCACGGCUCAGUGGCUUCAGUCACUUCCCAGAGUAUCCACAUUUUCAUCACCCGGAAAGAAACCCUCACCUCUUAGCGGUCGCUCCCUUCCCCCUCCCCUGCCCCAGGCCCCCACGCGUCUCCUUCCUGUCUCUGUAGAUUUGCCUAUUGUGGCGGGUUCCAUAAUGGAAGGGCAAGACCCGGGAUACCUCCUUUUGAAGCCUUGGGCAGUAAGACGGUGUUCUCCCCAUUUCACAGUAAGGGAACUGCAGCUCAGAGUGGUCAAGUAACUUGCCCAAGGUCACCCAGCUCAGAAAUGGUGGGAGGAUUUGGACUAUGUCUCUCUGGCUCCAGAGACCCCAGGCCACCCUCUGUGGCCUGGAGCCCAGAGUUGCCUGACAGCUUCAAGGGCCUGGGGGCCAGGGAGUGGGAGGGAGGCUGAGAGCAUGGGGGAGUUUGAGGGUGUGGAGGGCCCAGAGGAGGCACCGGGUCUGGUCACCAGGUACCAGGAUCACAGGGAAGAAAAGAAAUGGGCCCGGCAGGUGGGGGGCGGGGGCCGGCAGACUGGAGAAGGGGGCUACCCUCCCCUAGGUGGCAGUCUGGCCCUGGCUGUCUGUCCUUUCCUGCUGAUCGGUCCAGGCACAGCCCCAGGAUGCCUUCCCCGCUGCUGCCUCCUCUCCCUCUGGAAACAGCCCUCUCCCCUGACUCGUGUAGACCCCGGCCCCGGAGGAUGACUCAGCCUGAGCCCUGGAGCCAGCUGUCCCUCUGCCUCCUCCUCCUCCCCAGCUGUCCCCCUCUGGCAGAAGUUCCCGGGACGUGAUUGUCACCAACCCCAGGCUGGCUGUGCCAGGAUGGCUGCGGCCAGCACCCGAGGGCGGGGUGGCUCUGCCUGCAUGUCCUCCGGGCCGGCCUCUGGCCAGGGCACUCAUGCCCUUUGAGUCAGGGGGCCCUGCUCACCCCUUACUGGUGAGCCCCCUUCAGAUAAACAUGAGAACCUCAGGUCCUCUUGUACUUUUAAAGUCAUUUCCAUAUUUUGACCAAAGGAAACCGAAUUUUAGAAUUUGCUCUUUCAGGCUACUCUCAGCUUGGGACCCCAGUCUGGUCCAUCCCACCAGCCCCCUUGGGAAUCUCAAUUUACUGAACCCCUGACACAUAGAUCAAGUUUCCUCUUGGGUGGAUGGGGAAACUGAGGCUCAGAGGAGAAAAGGGACUUGCCCAAGGUCAGCCGCUGGAAGGGACAGGCUUGGGAGGUGGGGCUCCCAGCACCAGGGUCCCCAGGAAAUGGAAUUCUGAGAGGACAGCUGUGGGCCUAGCCUGCCAGGGCCAGGAGGGGGGCCACUGUGACCCUUAGUGGCCCAACAGUCAAAUGAUAGCAGCAGCUGCUUAGUAAGCUCGAGUCUCAAACCUUUAUUCCCUUUUUCAUCCACGAAUUCAUUUAGGGCCUGGAUUGGAAGACCAGCUCCAGUAAACUUAGUGCUCUGUGACUUUGGGCAAGUCAGUUAACCUCUCUAGGACUCAGUCUCCUCAUGGAUAAGAGGGGUGUGAUGAUAACAGCGCCUGCCUCCCAGGGCUGGAGUGAAGAGAGAAUGAGUCACUGUGCGGACAGUGCGUAGAAAGCGCCCAGCACUGUCAGGGGCCUGAGGAACGUGAGCUGACGUUGUUACUAGGAUUCCUGGUGACUGCAUGUGUGGCAGAGCCACUUCCACUCCCCUGGGUAAGGAGCCCACAGGGAAACGUGGGAGACGGUCACAAAAGUGGGGCUGUUACGGUGCAGAGAGGUGAGGGCAGGCCUGUGGUUUCUCUGUAACUGGGAGCUGGCCUAGCCCUGGGUGGGCUGCGAGGGCGCCAGUCGGGGGGCAGAGGCCCGUGUCUGGCUCCGGCUCUGCUGCCCAGCUGCUCCGUGACCUUGGGCAGGUUCUUGCUCUGCCUGGUGGAGGCCUGGACUGUCUCUCCAGAGACCUGGGCCGCCAGACGUCCGGGAGGCUGGCCACGGCUCCCUGCGCUAUUUUUGCCAGGACUGGGGGCGGUCACACCGCUCCUCCUGGAAUCAGAACCUUGGCAAGUGCGAGGGAGGCCCAAGGUCAGGCGCCCGACCCCUCCUGUGUCUGGCGCUGGGCUGGCUCCCUCCCCGGCCGCCAGGGCCCAGUCUUGUCCCUUCUGUAGAACCUGAGGUUGUGGCAGAGCUGGACUCCACUCUCAAGACCCCGAUGAUUGCAGCCCAUCCUCAUCCCCGCUCUGGGCUUAUCAGAGUUUUUAGUUUUCUUUUAAGCUGUUUCGAAAAUGACAGGGAAGCUACGGGAUUGGAGAUGGGGAGAGAGGGAGGAAUGUAGAGUGGCUGCUGAGUGACAGAGAAAGACGUGCUGUCAAACGCAGGGGACAGAGAAAGACAACUAGACAAGGAUUUAAACAGAGGGGAGAAAGACCCAGGGAAAGAAAGAGUGAGAGGAGAGAGAGCAAGAUGGAGGGGGCGAGAGAGAGACAGACGGAGGGCGCAGAAAGCCUCUGGCCAGGAGGGGCCUGGUGUGGGGAUCUGACCGGGGUUUAUCUUCUCCAGGCCUCCGUUUUCUCAUCUGUAAAACCAAACCUGAGCUAAGUGACCCCCAAGGGCCCCUGGACUCUGAUAGGCAGAUCCUGCGGUGGGAGGCAUCUUGAGAAGGGGUUGGGGCGAUGGGUCCCACAGCCUCAUAAUUCUCCAGAGGUGGUUAAUGCUUUAAUAUUCCAUCCCCCACUGUCGGUUCAAUAUAACUAGUCUCCUCUGGCACCCAGGAAGCUGGAGCUCAGAGAGGUGGAGACGUUUUGCCGAGGCCACACAGCCGACUGUGAUGAGAUAGGACCUAGGGCACUGAGUCCGGCGGGCUGGCCCUUUCCCCCCACCGUCUGCCCUCUUGUGUCUGCGGGCCCAGAUCGGAGUCUCCCCGUGGCUGUCCCAGGGUCUCUGCUGCUUCCUCCCUUCCUGGCCCUCGGUGCUCGCAGACAGGGGCAGAGGCGACCAGCCUCGCCCGGGCUCUUCCCAUGCGCGGCCUCUCUCCCAGCAGAGGGCAGGGCAGAAUGGGCCCUCCCCAACCCCCCACCCCCCCGACUCCCCUCUCCUCCCUUCCUCAGCGAGAAACUGCAGCCUGGGACCCUUCACCAGGGAGAGAAAGAAACUCAGGGAGCAGGCCCGCUUCCUGCUGCCACCCCCCGUGGGGCUGCUGCCCGAGCGCACGGGCGUGACCAAUGGUGAAGGGCGAGCGGGAACCCCGGGUGCUCUUCCAGGGGAUUGGUGGACGUGAAUUCAUUCGACCUCAUGAAGGCCUUGGGGUUCACCCUGUGGUGCUCAUGCCCAACCAUUUGGUGUUCCUGGAAUAUCCUGGGCUCUCCCACGUCCCCGUCACUUUUGUGCUCUGGUCCGUCUUCCCUCCCAAAAGAGAGACUUUCUGGUCAGCUCGGACUCUCUCCUGGAGUCCCACUUUGGGGAGCAUGUCCUCUCCCCCUGCCGGCCCAGCCUGGAACAGGCCCUGCGCUUUCUGGCAUGGCCUCCCUCAGGGCACUGACCACAUGGUGCUCUAUCCUCGAUGCUGUGUCUGCAGGGACCCCAGCAACAAGGACUGUUGGCAAGCUGUGGGCCAAUGGGUGGAAUCCAGGGCUGGUCACGGAGAGCAGCUGAUUCCGCUACUCAUGCAAAGGGAGGGGCCAGCUGCGGGAACCGGGAAAGGGAAACCCCCUGGAGAGGCCCCUGCAGGAGAUGUGGGUUCUCCUGGAGGGAUGGAGCCAGCCUGCGGCUACCCAGCAGGGCAGGGUCAGGGGAGUAGACGGUCCAGCUUCACUCUCCCCAAACUCCAACCUCCAGCACUUCCCCACUGCAAGCCGAGGGCGGGGAGCCCGGGAUGCUGUCCGUUGGGUUGGCCUUCAGGCAGAGAGCAGGGGGCUGGGAGGAGAGUGGGUCUGGAGAGGCAGAGAGAGACCCUGAGCUCUCGUGUCUGUCUCCCUGCCAUGCCGUGAGGCCCAGCGCCGAUGGAGAGCAAGCGUAGAGGCUUCACAGUGUGUCUGCACGUCCUCGGGCUGUCCCCCCGUCAAGAGAUGGAAGCCAGGUCCCCUCGCUGGAACACGGCUGGCUCGGUGACGGGCUCCUCAAGAGCAGAAUGUGGGGGGGGUCACUGUGUGAUCCCCAGGGCGAGGUCACGAAAGCGAGGCAGCGUCCGCCCGGCCGUGUCUCUUGGGUCCCUUGCGCUUGCAACCAAGUGUCCACAUCAGGAGGAAGCCGAGUGACCACGUGGCUGUAUCCAGCAGACAGCCGGCCGCGGUGUGGGCGAGCCUGGAGACGAGGACGGCAGCCCAGACCCCGAGCGACCUGAGCCUGCGCCCCCUCACUGCGCUGGUUGACCCCGAGAACCGGGAGAGGCCAUAAUAAAAUAUUGAACUGUUGUGUUUGAAACGAUUACAUUCUGGAGUGAUUUCUUAUGCAGCAGUGAAAAUCCGAACAGCACGUGUGUCACAGAUGUUUGGUGAAGGAACUCUCUUGGGUACCUGAUUAGGUGGAAUUUCUUUUUAAGAGAAGCUGCCAUGUAAAGC